GGCCCCAGGCAGGACAGGAGGGCUGUCCUUUUCACCAGCUUGAUGGCAUUGAGGUAGCCCCAGGGAGAAUGUUCCAGGCAGGGGUUCAGUGACCAGGAAGCUGGUGGGACUCAGCCUCCCAGCUGUGCAGGAGGACACCAGAGAGGCUGAGAAACAGGGAUCCCGGCUGUGCUUGACUUUUGCCAUGGGCCCAGGCCUGCAAUCCCCCAAGAUGGCUUAGGCACCUGAUGUCCCAGACCUGUGAUACUGAUACUGUGAGGAAAGACUGCGGAAGGCAGCCCAGGCGUGGCCUGCCUAUGCCCUGACCCCUGGCAGGACUUGGCAGUUGGGUCAGCUGAUAGGAGACGCAGAAGCGCUCCUGGCAGUGAUGAAGCAAAAGGCUCUGCCGCCAGCCACCAGCCGCCACCAGCCGCCACCAGCCGCCACCAGCCGCCACCCGCCUGUUAAUCAUUGAUGUUGGGUGUCCAGGACCUGGGCAGGUCACCUCUCCCGACCCCUGACUCUGCUGUGUUUCCUCCAGGGAGCUGGGUCCCAGCACAGCAGGAUGCUAGCUAGAAGUUUCAGCCAAUGCCUACAGGGAGGGACCCAUCCGCCACCCUGCCCCGCCCCCACCCCGGGGCUCACCGCCGCCCUCGCUGCGCAUGCCAAUAGUGCCCCCGGCGUAGAGGGCCAGAAGCCGCCGCUGGGACCCCUCUGCAUGCGCCAUGCCUUCGGGGGACUGAGGGGACAGGGCACCGGGGACCAGGGUACUAGGGAACCAGCGGGGGCGGGGCAAGAGGCGGGUCUGCAGGAGGGGCGGGGAGUCCGAGGGCCCGGGGCAGUGCCCCUGGAUGUGUGGACACUGCCCGGGUGGGGCCGGGUGGAGCAGGGUGGGGUCUGGCCCAGGUCCUGGGGGUUCCCGUGCCCAGUUGAACUCGCCAGUCCCCACUCCAGCCAGAAGCGCAGGAGGGGACCCCUUUCUCCAAGGAGCCCAGAACAGAGGCUGGAGGUCAGGGCAGAAUUGAGACACCCCCCUACCCACAAGGGGAGAAAUGCCUGGUCCCAUGGAGCCUCAUCUCUGCUUCAGUCCAGCCAGCCCACUUCAACCCUCUCUCUCACAGUCUCCCUAGGUUCCCUCACCCCUGCAGGCCCAUCUGAUCAUUGCUGAGGGGCUGGCAUCAGGGCUUCCUCAUGGACUUGGGGGGACAAAGGCCAGCUCCAAGGAGGACCUCUUCACCUCCAUUCCUGCUCUGCUCUGAUUAUCCUGCCCUGUAAAUCCUCAAUGCCUCACUCUCCCCACUGUGGGACUUGGUGACAGCCACCCAUCCUUGGGUGCAGGGACCACGGUGAUGGUGGUGAAUAAAAUGUCCAGUGGGAAUGCUCUGGGGGGAGGGCGGCCAGUGGGCCACGGCCUGGGAGAAGCCCCCACGUCAAGAGUGAUUGCUGGAGCGGCUUCCAGAGAAAACUCAGAGCAACAAGUAAAGAGGCCUCCCUCAGUCAGGAAACACACAGCACUAGCCAUGAAGCCUCAAACCUGACAGGCCACGUCAAGAGCCCACACUUAGCAUUGCUGAAGGAAAUGAAUGGCGGGGCUGGACAGAGAGCUCCCGAGGUAGGGCACAUGCUUAUUUUGACCAGGGCCCCGCUCAGCUCUGGCUGGUGGUGGGGCUGGGGGUGGAACCUGGGACACUGGAGCUGCAGGUAGGCAAAUCAUUUGCAGAGACACUGUGCCGUCUCCCCAGCCCCCUGCUUUAAACAUUUUCUACUUACCUGGAGCCAUCUCCUGGCCUCUGCUAGAAUUUUAUACUACCUGGAGUCUCAAGUCAUUUUAUAAUAAACUAAGACCACCAAUAAAAUACAAACACCAAACUGACUUAACUAACAAAUUUUGUUUAGAAAAAAAUUUUAUUUAUUUAUUUGAUAGAAACAACCAGAAAUCAAGAGGUAGGGAGAGGGAGAGAGGGAGAGAAACAGAGACACCUACAGCCCUGCUUCAAUGCUUGUGCGCAAAGCUUUCCCCCUGCAGGUGGGGGACGGGGGCUUGAACCCAUAUCCUUGCACAUUGUAACAUGUGCACUCAACCAUGUGCACCACCACCCAGCUCCCAAAUCUCAAAUUCUUUAAAGACAGGCUUCCACAAAGCGCACAGGAGUUCUCCAUCCCUGUCCUGUGUGCCAGCCUUGAGGGUUUUCGGGCUGAGACGUAGAGCUCACCCAGGAGACGCAGUUCUGGGCAGGAAGCACUAGAUGGCGCUGCGAGUCCUGAAUCUGUUUCCCAGCGGCCUGACUCAGCUCCCUAGGCCAGAUGGACCACCACCUAGGGCAACGGCCGCCUUGGACCACCACCUAGGACAGAGCCUUGGAUACGCAGUGUGCAGCCUAGCACGGGGCCUCUCCAAGGUCCUCAGCACUGCACAACUUCUCUGAAACCACAACUUCUCUUUUCUUCAAAACAAAUCUCUUCAAGUUCCUGUUUUUCGACAAGGCCGCCUGGCCAGAAGGGGUUAUCAGGACUAACAGCAAAGGGCCUAAGUGCUCGGUCACGGUGGGCCUUUGACCUUAUGACUAAGGAACUUGAGAACCUGCUGUUUCCAUACCAUUAGACUUUGCUCUUCUGUGGGCCUCCAAUCAAAAGCAGAAAUGUCCUGCUUUUCUGUCAGGAGGUAGUUCUUUUUACAGAAAGAGAACCUUAGCAGCUCUCCCUGGUUUCACAGCCCCAGCAAGUUUCCCCAGUACAGCACCAGCGCCUCUUGGCAAGGCCCCUCAUCCUGAGCGAACUGCCCCUGCGGCUCCAGACAGACUAUGACCCACAUAGUCAACGACUGCCACCUCUCCAGAUUCAAAGGAGGUCUCGAAACUUGACAUCAGGCUCAACCUGACGCUGUUGACUGGCUACGGAAGAAGGGCAAACGCUAGAAGAAGAAGCUCCUGAGCCCCAGCAGCGAGGCCCUGGGCUACAACCUCUAUGGAGAGCUGUGAGCUGUGAGCUGCCGUGAUUCCAGCAAGCCCUUAGAUGCAGCACAGCGCUGCCUCCUGCUCAGAACUAGCCCUGUGUCCAGGAGGGGCGGUCUGAGCGUGCACAGGGCUCGCACCCCAUCUCAGACCAGGCCUCCCAGUCACUCAGCUGCAUCUGAAGAAACCCUUGGACUUGUCAGAUUCACAGUGAAUAAAGUUCACUUUGCAGCGGGUAAGGUGCUGGACCCAAGUUCCAUCUUUAGCAUCAUGUGCGAGAAUGAUGAUCUGAUUCCCACCCACCCUCAUAAAUAAGAAAACAUUGGGGAAAAAAAAAAAAAGCACACUGGUUCUGAUUGUGGAGACCUGGAGGCAAUCUGAAAGUGCUUCUCUCAGAGGCUUAGCACAUUCUCAAGGGCAGGGCAUUUGACCAUCAACCCCUGAAAUCAAAAUCUCAAAGUGCUUCUGCAAUAAACAAGCUACUUGAUUCUGAUGGCACCAGCAAAUUCAGGGAACACAGGAGGGAGUUCAUUCUGUCCUCAGACGGGGGUGGAGUGGGGGGGGGUGGCUUCCUGGUAAAGGGGGAUCUGCAGUGUUGAAGAAAGAUAGGAAUUCCCAGAAAGGGAGAGGGCGGCAGAAGCUGGUCAGUGGAAGGGGGAGUGUACCAAGAGGGAACCAGGAAGUGCUGACUGAGGAAAUGCUGAGCUGGAACUGCCGGGAAGAGAUGGGGACCUGAGGUGACCCCACAGCUGGGGCAGAGAUGUGAACCCAGGGUGACCGCACAGUAGAGGGCAGAGAUGGGGACCCUAAGAGACCCCACAGUUGGAAGGCAGAGAUGGAGAGCUGGAGUGACUCCCACAGCAAGGGGCAGAGAUAGGGGACAGGGAAUGGCCCACUUCCCAUGGCCAUGUUAUAACUGUCUCCUGCUGGGACCUAGCUGGCAGAUGACUUUCUAGAAGAGGUCUGUAUUCUUCACCCGCUCUGUAAGUUCACACUUUUGAGAAUGAAAUACCUCUUAUUCCUCUGAUUAAAAAGUAUCUGAAACAGU